rnacentral:rRNA from 1 species
CGUCCACAAUAACAAGACAAAACCAAUUCCUCGCUCUUCAAACAACCCCCGACACCGACACGUCGAUUGAACCGGGAUAGUCCCCCCUCUUGAUUUAGGGUCCUGCCGUUUUGUACACACCGCCGGUGGGCUCCCCUCCCCCUUGCAGAGUGGAUUAACAAGGGCUCGGGGCCCUUUUGAAUUAAGGUCC